UCCUUAGCGGAUUUCGACUUC
rnacentral:siRNA from 1 species